UACUGAGUGGCAGACGGGUGAGUAUAAUGUGGGAAUCUGCCUUUUGGUUUGGAAUAACACGGGGAAACUUGUGCUAAUACCGAAUAAGCCCUUACGGGGAAAGUUUUAACGCCGAAAGAUGAGCCUGCACUUGAUUAGCUAGUUGGUAAGGUAAAGGCUUACCAAGGCAACGAUCAAUAGCUGUUCUUAGAGGAAGACCAGCCACAUUGGGACUGAGACACGGCCCAGACUCCUACGGGAGGCAGCAGUGGGGAAUCUUGCACAAUGGGGGAAACCCUGAUGCAGCGAUGCCGCGUGAGUGAAGAAGGCCUUUGGGUUGUAAAACUCUUUCGUCGGGGAAGAAAAUGACUGUACCCGAAUAAGAAGGUCCGGCUAACUUCGUGCCAGCAGCCGCGGUAAUACGAAGGGACCUAGCGUAGUUCGGAAUUACUGGGCUUAAAGAGCUCGU
rnacentral:rRNA from 1 species